AGCGAACGCUGGCGGCAGGCUUAACACAUGCAAGUCGAACGCAUCCUUCGGGGUGAGUGGCAGACGGGUGAGUAACACGUGGGAACGUACCUCUUUGUUCGGAAUAGCUUUUGGAAACGAAAGGUAAUACCGGAUACGCCCUUUUGGGGAAAGAUUUAUCGCAGCAGAGAUCGGCCCGCGUCUGAUUAGCUAGUUGGUGAGGUAAUGGCUCACCAAGGCGACGAUCGGUAGCCGACCUGAGAGGGUGACCGGCCACAUUGGGACUGAAGCACGGCCCAAACUCCUACGGGAGGCAGCGGUGGGGAAUAUUGUACAAUGGGCGCAAGCCUGAUCCAGCCAUGCCGCGUGAGUGAUGAAGGCCUUAGGGUUGUAAAGCUCUUUCACCGGAGAAGAUAAUGACGGUAUCCGGAGAAGAAGCCCCGGCUAACUUCGUGCCAGCCGCCGCCGUAA
rnacentral:rRNA from 1 species